rnacentral:rRNA from 1 species
CAGACCUGUAAUCGGAAAAGACUACCCGCUGAGUUUAAGCAUAUCACUAAGCGGAGGAGAAGAAACUAACCAGGAUUUCCC